rnacentral:lncRNA from 1 species
UGUAGAUGCUUUAAGGCCACACUGUGGAGGCUACUAAAUGACAAGGUGAUGGAGGUGACUGGAGGUGGUACAUGGUGAGUCACUUCUUACAGCUCCAAGCUAUGUUCUGGGCACAGAAAAGGGCACUCAGAACAUAGUGACCAAGCCUAUGAAGAGCUGAAAACUCCUAAGGCUGAGUUUCUAAAAACUCAUCUACCCAGGGGCCACAAUCCAGGUCAGGGAGGCUCUUUGGCAGGUGCAAGCUGACAUCAUGGCAUCUGACAAGGCAGACCCUGAUCCUCUUGAGAUACAUAAAUGGCAGCUGAACAAGAAAUGGAAGAAGGAGAAAUGGAAAUCAGAGAAAGUACCUAAGGACCUGGCCCUGUGCUGUGUGCUUCUUGAAAUGAUGGGACAAAUGGCAGACAAUCCUUGGUGAGAACCUUGAAUAAAGCUGACACGAGGACUAACCACAUCAGAAAGCCCUGUAAUCCCAAAGGUAGGGCCCACAGGCCAGGUUAACACAUUUUUUU